UGGGACCAGAUGGUAUACUUUAUGCCUUCCCUUCCCUUUGUAAGGUUUUUGGCUGAUUAAAUUAUAUGACAUUGGGAAAGAUUUUAUCUUGACAAGUGAAAGAGUUCUGGAGGCUGGAAGUCCAAGAUCAGGAUGCACGUAUGGUUGAGUAAGGUCUCUUUUCCAGAUCUUAGACUUCUCAUUCUAUGUUUCCUCACAUGAUGGAAGGGCUAAGCACUGAUACAACUUAUGAAGGCUCCACCCUCAUGACUUAACCCUUCCAAAGGUCCUUCCUCUUUCUGCUAAAUUUAAUCAUGAGGAAACUAAUUAGAUGGUCUUGAAGUGGAAGCAAAUAUCCUGGUAACUAUCAACUCAUUUUCUGAAUUGGACUACUUGAUUUCAAGCAAACAUUAACUUCCUGCUUGAAAUCACUCUGCCCUUAUUCUUCCCCAUGUUGCAUUUAAAUGCAAACUGCAGAUGGGUGAGGAAAUUUCUCUUUUCUCCCAUCUCCUGCAAAGUACACUAUACCCUUGCAGUGCAAUUGGAUUGGCAUUUGUACAGUAAGGUAUUAACAGCCUUUCAGAUAUGCCCUGCCCUAUUAGCAACAAUAUACAGUGAUACAAAAAUGAAUUUGUCAAGAGUUUUAUGGCUCUAUGAUCUAUUGUACAAUAUUAAUCCUGCUGCAGUGUUAUUAAGUCAUUUUUCAUCUCCCCUCAAAUUAAUGUUGACGUUCUAUUACUAGAUUUUUUUCUUGUCCCCAGAUUA